rnacentral:lncRNA from 1 species
CUCUUGCUUUCCAGUAACUCUCCUCCUGGGGAAAAGGCUUUUCACGGAGCAGGCUCGGAGCCUACGGGGCUGGCCUCGGACUGGAUGGGGAGGGUGCUCAACUUGCUGGAGUCAUCUCUGCUAUGGCUUUAUUUGCCAACAACAGAGAACUUGCUCUGCAGCAGCCCCAGGCUCUCUGGGGACCCCACAGGCUAUGCAGAUCCCCCACCCCAGAACCACAGAAGGAGACGGAGCAGAAGCACACCCCGUCUUCCAGGCCCAGGACAGCUGCUGAGCUCCAGGACACGGACUCUUGAAGGUUGAUUUUGACUACUUACUAAGCUCCAGCUGAACCAGUUCCACUUCUUUAACCUUCCCAUGAUCCCUGUGAGGGGUCUGUGGUAUUGCUAUUUGCAAGUAAAGAAAGUGAGAUUGAGGGAGGCUGAAAGACUUGGCCCCAAGUCACAAUGCCCUGCUGAAUGUGGUGCUGCCUCCUGGAUAUCCUGGGUGCUUCAACAUCAACAGCUCUUGGCAAGUGAGUGGGCCACGAAGGAUGGACGAGGGACAUGGGGGAGCAAGCCCAGCUGCACGGUUCCAGCUCUUUCCGCCACAUCACAGCUUCUGCAGUUGGGAAGCCUGAACAGUGAUCUUCAGUUUGUUCGUCAAAGGGCCAAGAAAUCUGUGUCCUCACCUUCUCUGCUUCAAUUCUGGUGCUGCUUAAGCCGAUUAUCAUUUCAUGCCCUAAACCAAAAAAUAAAUUCUACAAACAUCAACAUUACAUAGGACAGGAUCUGGCCCACAGAUUGGGGGCAGGAGCUGCUUUUUCAAUGAGAAGAAUGAACAGACCUAGUGGGCGUUGCCUUUAGACCCAGGUAAGAGGAAUCUCAGCCUUGGGACAUUACUUUCAAGGGCCAAGCCCAUAGGCCAUCCUUCUAGAACAUUCUUUGGGUAGCUAGGGCUUCAUAAGUCACUUACUGGGUUUGUCCUCCUUGAGUGGACUGUGUUGUCAGUGUGCACACCUGUAUUUCCAUGGAAUGGUAUCUUAGUCCUGCUGCUAUAACAGAAUACCUGAGACUGAAAAAUGUAUAAACAAUAGACAUUUAUUUCUCACAGUUCUGGAGGCUGGGAAAUCCAAGAUCAAGGCACCAGCUGGUUUGGUGUCUGGCGAGGGCUGCUCUCUGCUUCCAAAAUGGUGCCUUGGGGCUGGGCGUGAUGGCUCAUACCUAUAAUCCCAGCACUUUGGGAGGCCAAGGCGGGCAGAUCACCUGAGGUCAGGAGGUUAAGACCAGCCUGGCCAACAUGGUGAAAACCCCAUCCCUACUAAAAAUACAAAAAAUUAGCCAGGCAUGGUGAUGCAUGCCUGUAAUUCCAGCUACUUGGGAGGCUGAGGCAAGAGAAUUGCUUGAACCCAGGAGGCAGAAUUUGCAGUGAGCCGAGAUUGCACCACUGCACUCCAGCCUGAGUGAUAGAGUGAGACUCUGUCUCAAAAGACAAACAAACAAAAAACCAAAAUGGUGCCUCAUUGCUGGAUCUUCCAAAAGGGAUGAACGUAUGUUCUUGAAUGACAGAAAAGACAGAAGGGCAGAAAGUGUCCAAACUCACUCCAUCAAUCCCUUUUAUAAGGUGCUAAUCACUCCCUAAACACCCCAUCUCUUAUUACUGUUGCACUGGGGAUUCAGUUUCAGCAUGAGUUUUGGAGGGAUACAGACAUUCAAACCACAGCAUUGUGCACACUCCUUUUUCUAUGGAAUGGCCAAGGUGCAGCUAUUUGCAGAGGCCCUGACAGAGCUCCGCUGUGGAGCUGGGGUGUCCACAUGCCUGUAUGGAAGAACUUUCAUGGCACCGGAGCCUGGUGGGAAGAGAAGUGGGCUGGGCUAUAGACUGGGCACCAGGGACUAUCACCUCGUGCCACCACAUUUAGUGUAGAGUUCCAGAGAGGCCACAAAUUCUUCAUUUGAACUGGACUCCCCAGCCUCAUAUUCCUCUGCAGGAUGUAAAAAGGUAAUGCCAGCAGACGUUGGCAGUGCUGGAGACGCCUGGUGGGCAGAGGUUACCUGGCUGGAGUGGCAGGUGUGAGGAGAUGCCUCCCAGCAUAAGGAAUGUGGGCUUCUGUUGGAUCUCUUGUUCCAGGCCUCACACAUGUUCAAGGCAGCCUGGGUAUGUCUUGGCCCGUUCAAUCCCUCAAAGCCCUGUUUAAUUCUCAUCUUGCUGUCACCUAUGUGGUGCCAAGAAACAAGUCACCAAAAUAAUGAAAUGCCUACCUAAGCUUAAAAACAAAACCAUGAGGUCUUUCUAAAUAAAUUAUGAAAAAAGUGCAAACUGCAGGUCCCUGUAAUGAUUUCAAAGACUCCGUUCCAACAAUGCAUUAAUUUAAAAAGGGAGUAUAAGGCAAAGGGGGGUGAUUAGAAGAGGAAGGCAGCUGACAUCAAACUGAAUAUACCAAGUUUCCUCCUCAAAAACGAGUGUGCAUUAUUUGUGGUGACCAUUCUUGGUAUUGUUCUAUUGCGUAACACACAGCAUAGCAUCAUUCUUUUAGAUGUCAUUCAUUUAAUAUAUGGGCAAAUGUACAUGGUUAGGCUAGACUGGAGCGCUUGUCUACACUGCUU